rnacentral:rRNA from 1 species
CUACGAAGGGGGCUAGCGUUGUUCGGAAUCACUGGGCGUAAAGCGCGCGUAGGUGGAUCAAUUAGUUGAGGGUGAAAUCCCGGGGCUCAACCUCGGAACUGCCUUCAAUACUGUUGAUCUUGAGACCGAGAGAGGUGAGUGGAAUUCCUAGUGUAGAGGUGAAAUUCGUAGAUAUUAGGAAGAACACCAGUGGCGAAGGCGGCUCACUGGCUCGGUACUGACGCUGAGGUGCGAAAGCGUGGGGAGCAAACAGGAUUAGAUACCCUAGUAGUCC